UACGGAGGGGGCUAGCGUUGUUCGGAAUUACUGGGCGUAAAGAGCUCGUAGGUGGUUUGUCGCGUUGUCCGUGAAAACUCACAGCUUAACUGUGGGCGUGCGGGCGAUACGGGCAGACUGGAGUACUGCAGGGGAGACUGGAAUUCCUGGUGUAGCGGUGGAAUGCGCAGAUAUCAGGAGGAACACCGAUUGCGAAGGCAGCUCGCUGGGACGUAACUGACGCUGGAGACGCGAAAGCGUGGGGAGCAAACAGG
rnacentral:rRNA from 1 species